ACACCACACCCAUAUUAUGCGCAUGGCACUACUGCGCAACAUUUUCAAUAAAUAAUAUAUAAUAUAUCCGGUUACAACGGAUGCAUGCACGACGUCACAGAUGAUAGACGGGACUUCGUUCUAUCCACGUGAUCCUUUAGAACUCCCGUACGUUUCAGAAUGGCGGCGCAAUUUGACGAAGAAACCGACUGCUUGGAGUCGCACCGGCUGUCCAGACGAGUCUUCUUCGACUUCGUAAAGCUCUUCGCGUUGUCCGAAUUAGAAGGAUUCCUUUCGGGGUGUUGUUGCUGAAUGGUAUGUCUAUGUUUUGAGAUCGUUGGUUGUUUUUUUUGUGACAAGUGAAAUUCGGCCUUUCUAGCGUAGGUGGGGCAACGGGCUACCUUUAUGAUAAAGGUGUCAGUCAUUUGAGUGAUGUUGGGGAGUUUGCGUAUCUGUAGUCCUGUCGGUAUCGUCUGUUGGUCGCUGCAUUUGGUCAAGAACUCGAUGUGGUGGUUCGUCUUGGUGUGGCCUCGUCUCGCUCGUCCGUCUGGACUGCGGGGAUUACCCGUUCCGUUUGCGGCGUGGCGACGUUCGUCGGCGGCGGUGGGUCGAUUUCUUCGUUCUGUUCGACGUUUCGUUGGCGUGUUUCCGUGUCUGUAGGUGCCGGUGCGUAUAGGGAGUCGAAUGUGUGUGCGAAUAUCGACCGCGAGGUGUCGGUCGGAGGUAAUGGAUUGCCGUCGACCGUUGUCGUCCUCGAGACGGUCGGAAGUGUCUUCUUCGGUGUGCGAGGCGGUUGGGAAGUGGUGGAACGUGCGGGAAGUGCGUCGUGCUCCUGUCGUCGAGUGACUCUCUUGGUGCGGGCGGUCGGUUGGGAGGCGGACAUGUCGGUAGAAUCGAGGUGAACAGAUAGUGCUCGGUAGUCGUGAAAUAAUAUGAUCUAAUGUGAAUAGACUGAGUUAAAACUAUA